ACGAACGCUGGCGGCGUGCCUAAUACAUGCAAGUCGAACGCUUCUUUUUCCACCGGAGCUUGCUCCACCGGAAAAAGAGGAGUGGCGAACGGGUGAGUAACACGUGGGUAACCUGCCCAUCAGAAGGGGAUAACACUUGGAAACAGGUGCUAAUACCGUAUAACAAUCGAAACCGCAUGGUUUUGAUUUGAAAGGCGCUUUCGGGUGUCGCUGAUGGAUGGACCCGCGGUGCAUUAGCUAGUUGGUGAGGUAACGGCUCACCAAGGCGACGAUGCAUAGCCGACCUGAGAGGGUGAUCGGCCACAUUGGGACUGAGACACGGCCCCAACUCCUACGGGAGGCAGCAGUAGGGAAUCUUCGGCAAUGGACGAAAGUCUGACCGAGCAACGCCGCGUGAGUGAAGAAGGUUUUCGGAUCGUAAAACUCUGUUGUUAGAGAAGAACAAGGAUGAGAGUAACUGUUCAUCCCUUGACGGUAUCUAACCAGAAAGCCACGGCUAACUACGUGCCAGCAGCCGCGGUAAUACGUAGGUGGCAAGCGUUGUCCGGAUUUAUUGGGCGUAAAGCGAGCGCAGGCGGUUUCUUAAGUCUGAUGUGAAAGCCCCCGGCUCAACCGGGGAGGGUCAUUGGAAACUGGGAGACUUGAGUGCAGAAGAGGAGAGUGGAAUUCCAUGUGUAGCGGUGAAAUGCGUAGAUAUAUGGAGGAACACCAGUGGCGAAGGCGGCUCUCUGGUCUGUAACUGACGCUGAGGCUCGAAAGCGUGGGGAGCAAACAGGAUUAGAUACCCUGGUAGUCCACGCCGUAAACGAUGAGUGCUAAGUGUUGGAGGGUUUCCGCCCUUCAGUGCUGCAGCUAACGCAUUAAGCACUCCGCCUGGGGAGUACGACCGCAAGGUUGAAACUCAAAGGAAUUGACGGGGGCCCGCACAAGCGGUGGAGCAUGUGGUUUAAUUCGAAGCAACGCGAAGAACCUUACCAGGUCUUGACAUCCUUUGACCACUCUAGAGAUAGAGCUUCCCCUUCGGGGGCAAAGUGACAGGUGGUGCAUGGUUGUCGUCAGCUCGUGUCGUGAGAUGUUGGGUUAAGUCCCGCAACGAGCGCAACCCUUAUUGUUAGUUGCCAUCAUUUAGUUGGGCACUCUAGCAAGACUGCCGGUGACAAACCGGAGGAAGGUGGGGAUGACGUCAAAUCAUCAUGCCCCUUAUGACCUGGGCUACACACGUGCUACAAUGGGAAGUACAACGAGUCGCAAAGUCGCGAGGCUAAGCUAAUCUCUUAAAGCUUCUCUCAGUUCGGAUUGUAGGCUGCAACUCGCCUACAUGAAGCCGGAAUCGCUAGUAAUCGCGGAUCAGCACGCCGCGGUGAAUACGUUCCCGGGCCUUGUACACACCGCCCGUCACACCACGAGAGUUUGUAACACCCGAAGUCGGUGAGGUAACCUUUUGGAGCCAGCCGCCUAAGGUGGGAUAGAUGAUUGGGGUG
rnacentral:rRNA from 1 species